rnacentral:lncRNA from 1 species
UUUUUUGCUGUUGUUGUUUUUUUGUUUGUUUGUUUGUUUGUUUUAAGUGCCUCAGUAAGAGUAAGUUUACAAUCAGUAAAAUCCAGAGUGUGGAAUCUCUAGACCCAAGGGUUCCAAGAUCCUCAACAGCCAAACUGUAAGAAAAAGGGAUAGAGAAAAACCUAAAGACUUAAAAGAUCUAAGUUUAAAUUUUAAAAAUAGGGAAAUUCUAGGUUCAGGGAUGCACAUGUGGGUAAUAAACCUGAAGAAAUGUAAGAAAGUAUUAGUCAGGAGAGCAGUUAUUUUUGGAAGGGUGAAAAGUAUGUUUUUAUGGUAACAUUGGAGAGACUUCUAGGUGACUGACAAAGAUUUUUUCAGCCAUGUGCACGGCAUGUGGAAGUCUCCAAGCCAGGUAUCGAACCCCUGCCACACCAGCAACCCAAGGGCUGCGGUGACAACACUGGAUCCUUAACCUGCUGUACCACAAGAGAACCCCAACAAAGAUAUUUCUUGACUUGUGUGGUGGCUUCAGAGGUAUCUGCCUUACAUUUAGCUUCAUGGUUGUUUUGAGUGGUACUCCACGUCUAUAUCUCAUUUUACAACAAAAAAGCUUUUUGAGGAAAGACUCAUUCCCGGCCAUUUCUCACUUGUCUGUGUAAUGCUUAUCUGCAGGCAGGCAUGCUUCAAUCUUUAGCUGGCACUUUUCUGCCACUCAGUACAAUUCUGUAACAUGCUUCUUCCACUAGAUGCUGCAUGAUCAGAGAAUGCAUUCUAAUUUUCAGAUUAGCUUAAGAAAAACAUGAAUAGAAGGUUUUAAGUAUUGCCAACAAUAACUUCUGUAAUGCAUUCCAGCACCAACUAUAAAUUCUAAAUUGUUUGCUCUAUCAGCUGUUUUAGAUUAUGUGCAUUGCCAUUAUCCCUCAACGGCAUAGACAGUGAAAAGUGAAAACUUCGUUUUCCUAAGAAAAAUAAAAAAAGCCCUAAUAUUCUUACAUAAGGCCUGAAAUUUCAUGAAUUCGCUGGACACAUUUAUAAUCUUUAUAAAUUCUAGCUGCAGGCAGUUUUGGCUUGAGUAUUACCAAGAUUCUUAAUCUGUGCUGACAUUUGAACACUUAAAACAUCUGGGGGGAUGGUGGGGGGCCUAGAUCAAGGCUAUUUACAUCAUCCACCUUCUCUCAGUUGUACAAACUAUUACGGAGUCUGGCACAUGAGCUGUUAACGCAGUUGAUCACCAGCGGUGGUAGUCUAUGGUCUAGGGAAAAAAAAGCCACACGGGUAGCCUAGUGGGUACCUGCAUGGGCACCAGUUCCCAAGGUGAUGCUUUUCAUUCCAAAGUCAGUAUCUUCAUUCUCGCCUUACAUUCAGAAACCAUGCCCCACCCCCCACUAAGCACAGGCAGAAAUACACAGUCUCCCUCUAACCCUCAGCCUCCUGCAGAUCUAGAUGAAGGCACAGGAAAUGUCUGCUUCAGCAGAGACCAGUGAGCCAAGACAACCUCGGGAAAAGUAAACUCUCUCCCUUCAUGGGUUCUGUUACCCUCAGGCCCCGCACAGAGGUGACUCUGAAGUGCUAUGCUCUUCCUUAAGGAUAAAAGAGCUGCUCAAAUAGCACCCCCAUGUCCUUUUUGUAUUUCUGUAAGAGAAGACCUGAAGGAUGGGUUCUAGAAAAUUUGUUACUAUGUAAAGUGUCCAACUUACAGGUAUUUCUCUAAAGGAAUGGAAAUCAAGAUAUUUACCAAAGUACAAUUGAUUUACAUCAUAUUAGCUUUGGGUGUACAAUAUAGAAUAUAAUCUGUAAAAUAGCGAAUUACUAUUUCAAAUUAUCAUAAAAUAUUUGAUAUAUUCCUUGGACUGUACAAUACAUCCCUAUAGCUUAUGUUAUACUAGUAAUUCGUACCUCUUAAUCCUCUACACCUAUCUUGCCCUUCCCCAGCCCCUACCUCUCCCCACCAGCUACUGGUAACCAUUAGUUUGUUCUCUGUAUCUGUGAGUCUCUUUUUUUAUAGUCAUCUGUUUAAUUUUUUAGAUUCUACAAGUGAUAAGAACAUUUGUCUUUGUCUUACCUCACUAAGCAUAAUACCCUCCUACCCCAUCUAUGUUGCUACAAGGGGCACAAAUCUCAUUCUUUUUUAUGGUAUUCCAUUGUUCGUAUGUGCUUGUGUUCAUUCUUUAUCCAUUCAUCUGUUGGAUACUUAGGUUGCUUCCACAUCUUGGCUGCUAUGAACACUGUGGUGCAUGCAUCUUUUCAAAUUCAUGUUUUCAUUUUCUUUGGAUAUGUACCCAGGAGUGGAAAUGCUAAAUCAACUCAGUAGUUCUUUAGUUUGAGGAACCUCCAUACUGGCUUCACUCAUUUACAUUCCCAUGAACAGUGUACCAUGGUUCUCUUUUCUCCAUGUCCUCGCCAACAUUUUUUGUGUUCUCUUCACUGAUAGUCAUAUGGACAAGUGUAGGUGAUUUCUCAUUGUAGUUUUAAUCUGCAUUUCUCAGAUUUUGCAAAUCAUGUCACAUCUGCCUGCAGUUUGGGAUCCAGCAGAAGAGUCUAAAAGUAAUGUAUAAUUGUUAUACUUGAAUAGAACAGAAAGCAGCACUAAAAUAAUGACUAGAAUUGAAAUGACUCUGUUGUUGUUCAUUUCUUUAAUUCCCAUCACUGCAGAGCAGUAAAUAGUUAAAUAUGGUUCAUAUAAGUCACCUACUAUCUCUGGGCAUUACUGAUGUAUUAUAUACAUAUGGCUGUGUACUAUUAUUAUUAUAUACCACACACUAUAUAUAAUACUUAUAUCCUGAUGGCAUGGUAGCUGAGAGUUCAAAAUAUGGCAAAAUGAGCUACAUUUUUUCCUGACUUUCUUCCAGUGGUCUUUCUUUAUUCUGCUUUUGCCUUUCAAUAACCAUGUCAAGAGAAAGACCAUGAGGUCACACACAUUAUUAUCGUCAUGUAACCCUUUUAUAUUUCUUCCAUCAAGAUUUAUCAGCAUUGCAUUCAAGGUUCAAAGAACUGGCCUUUCCCCUUACAUUUCAUUUGUACCCAGAGUGCUUAUGCCCAGGGUACAAAUUCAAUAUGAAACCACUGGGUGUAUAAAUGAGUAAAUCUUCCCAUCCAUAAAGACCUUGCUGGGAAAAUACCACACUGUGACAACAGAAAAUACAUCCAGCACAGGAAAGGGUAGUAGGGGUGUGUUGGUGUGUAGAACAAGUAACUGCAUAAAGAGAAAACACCUUUGCGUCCUAAGUAGGGAGAAAUCAAGAAGGAGGGGAUCGCAAAAGCUAGAGUAACCACGAGAAACCUUGAGACACGAGUAAGACUCAGUAAAGUGAGAACAGAAUGGAGACGAGGAGCCACAUGGAGGUGUGAGGGGGCAAUCCCAGAGAGCACAGAAUGGUCAAAAGCAGCCCCAUGAAUUGGGAGACAGAAAUCAUUUGCCCAAUAGUAGUGGGACCCCAAGACCACGGAGAGGUCAGACAUAUGAAGGUCCAUUUCCAAUUCCAAAUCAGAACAGGGGGUCUGACAAAACAAAAAACAGUGUAGCCCAAGGGUAAAGAGCUCAGCAUCGGGGGGAGGGAUGGGCUGGGGGUUUGGGAUGGAAAUGUUGUGCAACUGGGUUGUGGUGAUGGUUGUACAACUAUAAAUAGGAAAAAAUUCAUUGAGUUUAAAAAAAAAAAAAAGAGCUCAGGGUUGAAAUCAGACUUGAGACCAAAACCCAAAACCCAGCUUCACAUUCACAGGCUCUCUGUCCUCCAACGGCUUGCUAAACCUCUGUGUCUCAUUGCCUGGAAUCAUAAUGCGAAGUGACAAGGUCAUUGUGGGGCCUCAAGGAGACAGCGCUAAGGUGCCCUCCCAGGAACACAGAAUACUCAAUUUGUUAGCCAUCAUUACACACAGAACACUAAUGGGACAAAAUAUUCAGUUUAAAAUUCUCCUAGAAAAAAAAAAA